CUGGAGGUAUCAGAAGUGCGAAUGCUGACAUAAGUAACGAUAAAGCGGGUGAAAAGCCCGCUCGCCGGAAGACCAAGGGUUCCUGUCCAACGUUAAUCGGGGCAGGGUGAGUCGACCCCUAAGGCGAGGCCGAAAGGCGUAGUCGAUGGGAAACAGGUUAAUAUUCCUGUACUUGGUGUUACUGCGAAGGGGGGACGGAGAAGGCUAUGUUGGCCGGGCGACGGUUGUCCCGGUUUAAGCGUGUAGGCUGGUUUUCCAGGCAAAUCCGGAAAAUCAAGGCUGAGGCGUGAUGACGAGGCACUACGGUGCUGAAGCAACAAAUGCCCUGCUUCCAGGAAAAGCCUCUAAGCAUCAGGUAACAUCAAAUCGUACCCCAAACCGACACAGGUGGUCAGGUAGAGAAUACCAAGGCGCUUGAGAGAACUCGGGUGAAGGAACUAGGCAAAAUGGUGCCGUAACUUCGGGAGAAGGCACGCUGAUAUGUAGGUGAAGUCCCUCGCGGAUGGAGCUGAAAUCAGUCGAAGAUACCAGCUGGCUGCAACUGUUUAUUAAAAACACAGCACUGUGCAAACACGAAAGUGGACGUAUACGGUGUGACGCCUGCCCGGUGCCGGAAGGUUAAUUGAUGGGGUCAGCGCAAGCGAAGCUCUUGAUCGAAGCCCCGGUAAACGGCGGCCGUAACUAUAACGGUCCUAAGGUAGCGAAAUUCCUUGUCGGGUAAGUUCCGACCUGCACGAAUGGCGUAAUGAUGGCCAGGCUGUCUCCACCCGAGACUCAGUGAAAUUGAACUCGCUGUGAAGAUGCAGUGUACCCGCGGCAAGACGGAAAGACCCCGUGAACCUUUACUAUAGCUUGACACUGAACAUUGAGCCUUGAUGUGUAGGAUAGGUGGGAGGCUUUGAAGUGUGGACGCCAGUCUGCAUGGAGCCGACCUUGAAAUACCACCCUUUAAUGUUUGAUGUUCUAACGUGGACCCGUGAUCCGGGUUGCGGACAGUGUCUGGUGGGUAGUUUGACUGGGGCGGUCUCCUCCUAAAGAGUAACGGAGGAGCACGAAGGUUGGCUAAUCCUGGUCGGACAUCAGGAGGUUAGUGCAAUGGCAUAAGCCAGCUUGACUGCGAGCGUGACGGCGCGAGCAGGUGCGAAAGCAGGUCAUAGUGAUCCGGUGGUUCUGAAUGGAAGGGCCAUCGCUCAACGGAUAAAAGGUACUCCGGGGAUAACAGGCUGAUACCGCCCAAGAGUUCAUAUCGACGGCGGUGUUUGGCACCUCGAUGUCGGCUCAUCACAUCCUGGGGCUGAAGUAGGUCCCAAGGGUAUGGCUGUUCGCCAUUUAAAGUGGUACGCGAGCUGGGUUUAGAACGUCGUGAGACAGUUCGGUCCCUAUCUGCCGUGGGCGCUGGAGAACUGAGGGGGGCUGCUCCUAGUACGAGAGGACCGGAGUGGACGCAUCACUGGUGUUCGGGUUGUCAUGCCAAUGGCACUGCCCGGUAGCUAAAUGCGGAAGAGAUAAGUGCUGAAAGCAUCUAAGCACGAAACUUGCCCCGAGAUGAGUUCUCCCUGACUCCUUGAGAGUCCUGAAGGAACGUUGAAGACGACGACGUUGAUAGGCCGGGUGUGUAAGCGCAGCGAUGCGUUGAGCUAACCGGUACUAAUGAACCGUGAGGCUUAACCUUACAACGCCGAAGG
rnacentral:rRNA from 1 species